rnacentral:rRNA from 1 species
CAACGCGCCUGGCCCGCUUUUAGUGAGUGCCGGUGCGCGUUUGCCAUCCUUCUAGAAAACGUUUCUACCUGGGCAACCGGGCCGGACUCGCGAUCUAGAUCUUUUACUUUGAAAAAAUUAGAGUGUUUAAAGCAGGCUUUUGCUGUGAAUACAUUAGCAUGGAAUAAUAAUCUAGGACUUCGGUUCUAUUUUGUUGGUUUCUAGUACUGAAGUAAUGAUUGAUAGGGAUAGUUGGGGGUGCUAGUAUUGGCCGGCCAGAGGUGAAAUUCUUGGAUUCGGUCAAGACUAACUUAUGCGAAAGCAUUCACCAAGGAUGUCUUCUUUAAUCAAGAACGAAAGUUGGGGGAUCGAAGACGAUCAGAUACCGUCGUAGUCUCAACCAUAAACUAUGCCAACUAGGGAUGGGUGAACGUUGUUUUUUUGACUUCAUCUGCACCUUAUGAGAAAUCAAAGUCUUUGGGUUCCGGGGGGAGUAUGGUCGCAAGGCUGAAACUUAAAGGAAUUGACGGAAGGGCACCACCAGGAGUGGAGCCUGCGGCUUAAUUUGACUCAACACGGGAAAACUUAC